UUUUCGGGCGGUGUUUACAGACUCUUCUUCUCUGCCUCCGCCCUGCUCUUGGCUCAAGCUUCAAGCCUCUUCUGUUUUCUAGCCAGACCUGGAAUAACGAAAACACAGCUCUGGGAGCCCCCACCGAGCCGGCGCCUGUGCCAGCUCACCUCUGGCCAUGGCGCAGCUGCCGGUGCACGCAGCGGCCAAGGCCAAGGCCAGCUCCACAUUCCUCCAUCCCUCUCCCCACUUCACCGGAGACCGAGCCCUGCGUGCAGAGGAAGGGCCCCAGCUCCACAGACUG
rfam:Myotis lucifugus cont2.18003, whole genome shotgun sequence.